rnacentral:sRNA from 1 species
UGGUUGUCAAGUAUGUAACAAGGAGUGGUUUACGUAUCAUAUGUCACUUGUUACUUAGGCCCAUAUUCUAUAUUACACGUCUAAGUAACAUUGUUGUCUACCAAGCAAUGGUCAUCAACCUCAUUCUCUUGAAUUCAAAAAAAUGAAAAGCGGUACAAUGAGUUUUUAAUUUAAGAGAAGGAGGUUAAUGACCAUUGCAUUUGACUACUAAGUCACUUCUCAAAAAUGUCUCUACCAAGACAUUUAACACAUAAUGUCUUUAGUUUAAAGACACUUAAACAUUUAAUUAAUAUAUUUUUUGGGGACUUUCGUAAGAAUAUGCACAUUUUGGUCCAAUAAUUAGAGAAAUGAAUAUUUAGAAUGGACUUAUAGGUUUGAGCAUAUAUUAGCAAUAUAUAUGACGGGUUUGCCCUUCGUUUCAAUUUAUCAACACCAUCGUCUUCAACAAAAUUUUCUAGCCAACAUGUCUUCUCCAAUCAAAAUAAAUGAUUUUUGAUGGAAGAAAUCUAAACCCUAAGGGGAUACUAUCGAGAAAACCCUUGGUUUCUAAUCUGAAACACGGUUUGAAUGAAUUAAUCUCUAAUUCAUCACUAAAUCUAAACCAAAUUUGAUCCUUAUUGGUCAACGGAGUUCAUCAUCAUCGUCACCAACUAAUAACAGAGGAUCUGGAGACCCAAGCUACCACCCUCGCUUCUCAUUGUCGCUCAACUCACCAUCAUCGCUGAAACUCACCAUCGUCGCCAACACUAAUCGGAAGUCGAGAUUGUGUCGUCUUUUUCAUCACGAGACAUGAUUCAUGAGUCACCGUUGUUGCUUCUCACCGUCGUCAAAAUCGUUGUCCUCGCAGGAGCUCAAUCAUCACACCGUCAUUUUAAACAAGUUCUUAAAGAAGGAAGAAGAAAAUGCCAAUUAGUCUUUUACAAAGAUAGAAAGUACUCAUUUAUAUAAACCCUAGAGAAAAUGCC